rnacentral:rRNA from 1 species
UACGUAGGGCGCAAGCGUUGUCCGGAAUUAUUGGGCGUAAAGAGCUCGUAGGCGGCCUGUUGCGUCCGCUGUGAAAUCCCGGGGCUCAACCCCGGGCCUGCAGUGGAUACGGGCUGGCUGGAGGCAGGCAGGGGAGAACGGGAAUUCCUGGUGUAGCGGUGAAUGCGCAGAUAUCAGGAGGAACACCGGUGGCGAAGGCGGUUCUCUGGGCCUGUUCUGACGCUGAGGAGCGAAAGCGUGGGGGGAGCGAACAGG